AUGGUAGUGCUGGAAAUGGUGAGUGGUAGAAGAAACUCAGAUCCAUGGGUUGAGAACCAAAACGAGGUGUAUAUUCCAGAGUGGAUAUAUGGGAAAAUAAUCACUGGGCAAGAACUGGAAUCAACUAGGCAAAUGACGCAAAUGGAGAAUGAUAUAAUGAGAAAGCUGGCCAUUGUGGCAUUAUGGUGCAUCCAGUGGAACCCAAAGAAUCGCCCAUUGGCAGCAAAAGUGAUGAACAUGUUAACAGGAAGCUUGCCCAGUCUAACAAUGCCUCCCAAGCCAUUUGUUUCGUCUGCAGGUCACCCUAUACUGCAAGCAUAG
rnacentral:rRNA from 1 species